UUCGCCGAUUUAACAUCACCAUAGAAGAAAAAAACGGGCCAAGUGUGUUUACAUCUUGGGAUUAAACUGCGGAAUCUUUGAUGAAGUCAGUACACACAUAAAACCACCAUUAUCGUUUACUAUUUUGAUUUAUACGUCCCUUGACUAGUACUGGUCGUUGGAGAGAGAGCAUGGAUAAAGACAUGGCAACAGACAAUACCCGCAACUCACGUCCGUCUUGGUCAACAGGUGUACAGGACGACUAACUCACUCCUUGUAUUUGUAUACCCUUUAGUCCAACUUACUAAUACCAUGAAUGACAGUCUUUGACAGAAUGGCCGGCAAAAACAAAUUAGGCUAAUUGACAGGUAAUAGAGUGCACUUUGAAGAACGCCUGCUGUCAUGUGCUACCAUUUGGACAAGCCACGUAGUGACAUGCCUGUAGCAUGAACCCGGAGGAUAGCAACUUCGCCACCCGUGUAGUGCAGCUCUCUCCAGCCGACCCAGAUGUCGGGUAUGGAUACAAAGCUCCAUAAAGGAUUGCGAGUGGGAAUACAUCGAGGGAGAACUUCAUACACCUGGCCUGGAGAAAAAUGUGGUCUCUAACACUUCGCUGCCCUAUGUCCGAAAGAUUUACAGUUUACCUGUUAAGAACACGAGCAGCUUGAACCGAACUUUAUGUAUCUGCUACAAAAGGUUUUUGGACAGACCAGAGAUAUUCAGAUUCUGUUUGACCAGAUAUGCACUUUUAAAUGUGUCUGCAGUUUUAUGUUACCAGAAAAGUCCCCUGAAAAGAGCUUUAUCAACUUUCAUCUGAUUGCUGAUUCUGUGCACCUCCAUGCAGGACCAAACGAUUGAGGCUGACAUGCGUUGUUUCGGCCAUACGACUUCUCCACGCUACUUGGUGGGAAUAAAUGUAGAUGAUAUGUAAGCUAGAACCAUUAUUUUAUGAGUCUAUUAGGUGUCGUGGAUGUAAAUGUGUUGUAGUAUUGUUGGUUUGUUGUUGAUGAAUUUACCGGUGAUGGUAGCUUAAGGGUCAUAAACAGAUGGUCAUCCUAACUCUUUCAGCAGCGUUUCGCUUCAAGCGAGCAUGAAAGUCUCAAGAGAACACGAUACCCCUUCGGGCACAAGACGCAAUCCUCCAACUCAUCCACCUUCUUGCCCAGUGACAGCAUGUUCUCAAAAAGUAUAAACAGUAAUGGUGGCAUUUCCUGUUUGUUGUCCUUCUUCUCUUCCUCUCAGUCACGACGUUUCCAGCCUGCCAGUGUGUGGAUGUCUUCAAGCUUGACUACGUCCGUCGUCUGCCACAGCAGUAAAGGAAUCUGAAGAUGAAAAUCUACAUCGUGCUUAUCCUGGCCCUUGUAGCCCUCACCAGUGCUAACGAGAUAGACAAGCGACAAUUAAUCGACAUCUCAGGCUUGGCACAUAAGAUUGAAACUUACCUAGAGCAGCAUGGUAAAGAACUUACGGGUGCGGCAUGCACGGCGGCGUGCGAUGUAAUGACUGAUGGCAUUGCGAUUUCUCUGUGUGGUGUAGCAUGCUCACUCCUUGGUGUUCACAAAUGAGGAGAUUCAGAUUGCAGCCUCCGGUUUCAGUCAAAACAUUCUCCCUGGAACCAAAGUGAAAUAAAUAUUUGAAAGUAACAAC